GACGAACGCUGGCGGCGUGCUUAACACAUGCAAGUCGAACGGAAAGGCACUGCUUUUGUGGGGUGCUCGAGUGGCGAACGGGUGAGUAACACGUGAGUAACCUGCCCUUGACUUUGGGAUAACUUCAGGAAACUGGGGCUAAUACCGGAUAGGAGCUCCUGCUGCAUGGUGGGGGUUGGAAAGUUUCGGCGGUUGGGGAUGGACGCGCGGCUUAUCAGCUUGUUGGUGGGGUAGUGGCUUACCAAGGCUUGGACGGGUAGCCGGCCUGAGAGGGUGACCGGCCACCUGGCGACUGAGAUACGGCCCAGUCUCCUACGUGAGGCAGCAGUGGGGAAUAUUGCACAAUGGGCGGAAGCCUGAUGCAGCAGCGCCGCGUGCGUGAUGACGGCCUUCGGGUUGUAAACCGCUUUCGCCUGUGACGACGCGGGAGUGACGGUAAUGGGUAAAGAAGCACCGGCUAACUACGUG
rnacentral:rRNA from 1 species